rnacentral:rRNA from 1 species
GUGGAUGCCUUGGCGAUCACAGGCGAUGAAGGACGUGUAAGCCUGCGAAAAGCGU